rnacentral:rRNA from 1 species
UUUAUGAUGGCGACCGGCGCACGGGUGAGUAACGCGUAUCCAACCUACCCAUUACUAGGGAAUAACCCAGCGAAAGUUGGCCUAAUGCCCUAUGUAGUCGUUUGAUCGCCUGAGAUUUCGACGAAAGAUUUAUCGGUAUUGGAUGGGGAUGCGUCUGAUUAGUUUGUUGGCGGGGUAAAGGCCCACCAAGGCAACGAUCAGUAGGGGUUCUGAGAGGAAGGUCCCCCACAUUGGAACUGAGACACGGUCCAAACUCCUACGGGAGGCAGCAGACC